UACGUAGGUGGCAAGCGUUGUCCGGAUUUACUGGGUGUAAAGGGCGUGUAGCCGGGAAGGCAAGUCAGAUGUGAAAUCCGGAGGCUCAACCUCCGAAUUGCAUUUGAAACUGUUUUUCUUGAGUACUGGAGAGGCAGACGGAAAUCCUUGUGUAGCGGUGAAAUGCGUAGAUAUAAGGAGGAACACCAGUGGCGAAGGCGGUCUGCUGGACAGCAACUGACGGUGAGGCGCGAAAGCGUGGGGAGCAAACAGG
rnacentral:rRNA from 1 species